GAAGUAACGGUGUCGGAUUAUUGGGCGUAAGCGAGCGCAGGCGGUUUUUUAAGUCUGAUGUGAAAGCCUUCGGCUCAACCGAAGAAGUGCAUCGGAAACUGGGAAACUUGAGUGCAGAAGAGGACAGUGGAACUCCAUGUGUAGCGGUGAAAUGCGUAGAUAUAUGGAAGAACACCAGUGGCGAAGGCGGCUGUCUGGUCUGUAACUGACGCUGAGGCUCGAAAGUAUGGGUAGCAAACAGGAUUAGAUACCCUGGUAGUCCAUACCGUAAACGAUGAAUGCUAAGUGUUGGAGGGUUUCCGCCCUUCAGUGCUGCAGCUAACGCAUUAAGCAUUCCGCCUGGGGAGUACGGCCGCAAGGCUGAAACUCAAAGGAAUUGACGGGGGCCCGCACAAGCGGUGGAGCAUGUGGUUUAAUUCGAAGCUACGCGAAGAACCUUACCAGGUCUUGACAUACUAUGCAAAUCUAAGAGAUUAGACGUUCCCUUCGGGGACAUGGAUACAGGUGGUGCAUGGUUGUCGUCAGCUCGUGUCGUGAGAUGUUGGGUUAAGUCCCGCAACGAGCGCGACCCUUAUUAUCAGUUGCCAGCAUUAAGUUGGGCACUCUGGUGAGACUGCCGGUGACAAACCGGAGGAAGGUGGGGAUGACGUCAAAUCAUCAUGCCCCUUAUGACCUGGGCUACACACGUGCUACAAUGGAUGGUACAACGAGUUGCCAACUCGCGAGAGUAAGCUAAUCUCUUAAAGCCAUUCUCAGUUCAGAUUGUAUGCAGCAACUCGCCGACAUGAAGUCGGACUCACUAGUAAUCGCGGACCAUCGUGCCGCGGUUGAAAACCUGCCCGGGGGCGUUAAAA
rnacentral:rRNA from 2 species